AUACGGAGGGUGCAAGCGUUGUCCGGAUUUAUUGGGUUUAAAGGGUGUGUAGGCGGUGUAUUAAGUCAGUGGUGAAAGCCUGCGGCUCAACCGUAGAACUGCCAUUGAUACUGACACACUUGAGUAUGGACGAGGUAGGCGGAAUUUAUGGUGUAGCGGUGAAAUGCAUAGAUACCAUAAAGAACACCGAUAGCGAAGGCAGCUUACUAGGCCAUAGCUGACGCUGAGGCACGAAAGCGUGGGGAGCGAACAGGAUUAGAAACCCCAGUAGUCC
rnacentral:rRNA from 1 species